rnacentral:rRNA from 1 species
UACAGAGGGGCGAGCGUUGUUCGGAAUUACUGGGCGUAAAGGGCGCGUAGGCGGCCAACUAAGUCAGACGUGAAAUCCCUCGGCUCAACCGGGGAACUGCGUCUGAUACUGGAUGGCUUGAAUUCGGGAGAGGGAUGCGGAAUUCCAGGUGUAGCGGUGAAAUGCGUAGAUAUCUGGAGGAACACCGGUGGCGAAGGCGGCAUCCUGGACCGAGAUUGACGCUGAUGCGCGAAAGCCAGGGGAGCAAACGGG